rnacentral:piRNA from 1 species
GUAUAGGUUUCCAUAUACUAAGCAAUUGUGUC